rnacentral:rRNA from 1 species
GACGAACGCUGGCGGCGUGCCUAAUACAUGCAAGUAGAACGCUGAAGGAGGAGCUUGCUUCUCUGGAUGAGUUGCGAACGGGUGAGUAACGCGUAGGUAACCUGCCUGGUAGCGGGGGAUAACUAUUGGAAACGAUAGCUAAUACCGCAUAAUAGUAGAUGUUGCAUGACAUUUGCUUAAAAGGUGCAAUUGCAUCACUACCAGAUGGACCUGCGUUGUAUUAGCCAGUUGGUGGGGUAACGGCUCACCAAGGCGACGAUACAUAGCCGACCUGAGAGGGGGGUCGGCCACACUGGGACUGGGACACGGCCCAGACUCCUACGGGAGGCAGCAGUAAGGAAUCUUCGGCAAUGGACGGAAGUCUGACCGAGCAACGCCGCGUGAGUGAAGAAGGGUUUCGGAUCGUAAAGCUCUGUUGUAAGAGAAGAACGAGUGUGAGAGUGGAAAGUUCACACUGUGACGGUAUCUUACCAGAAAGGGACGGCUAACUACGUG